rnacentral:rRNA from 1 species
GCGCAGCUUACCAUGCAGUCGAGCGGUAACAGGGGGUGCUUGCACCCCGCUGACGAGCGGCGGACGGGUGAGUAAUGCAUAGGAAUCUGCCCAGUAGUGGGGGAUAGCCCGGGGAAACCCGGAUUAAUACCGCAUACGCCCUUUGGGGGAAAGCAGGGGAUCUUCGGACCUUGCGCUAUUGGAUGAGCCUAUGUCGGAUUAGCUAGUUGGUGGGGUAAAGGCCUACCAAGGCGACGAUCCGUAGCUGGUCUGAGAGGAUGAUCAGCCACAUCGGGACUGAGACACGGCCCGAACUCCUACGGGAGGCAGCAGUGGGGAAUAUUGGACAAUGGGGGCAACCCUGAUCCAGCCAUGCCGCGUGUGUGAAGAAGGCUUUCGGGUUGUAAAGCACUUUCAGUGAGGAGGAAAACCUUCUGGUUAAUACCCAUGAGGCUUGACGUUACUCACAGAAGAAGCACCGGCUAACUCCGUGCCAGCAGCCGCGGUAAUACGGAGGGUGCAAGCGUUAAUCGGAAUUACUGGGCGUAAAGCGCGCGUAGGUGGUUUGAUAAGCGAGAUGUGAAAGCCCCGGGCUUAACCUGGGAACGGCAUUUCGAA